CCGCUGGCCCACCGCGAGCGAGGCAGCGUGUGCAUCCGUGGGCCGAAUCGCUUCAGCUUAGAGGAAGCGGAGGACGACCUGGUGCAGUGCAAGUUGUCAGCUGAGCAGGCAGGGGAUGAUGCUGCAAAGCAGGUGCGUGCACUGGCAAGUCGGCUCAAGACAGACUUCGAGAG
rnacentral:snRNA from 12 species